rnacentral:rRNA from 1 species
AGCGAACGUUUGCGGCGGGCCUAACACAUGCAAGUCGAACGGGCUGUUCUUCGGAGCAGUCAGUGGCGCACGGGUGCGUAACACGUAGGUAAUCAACCCUUGAGUUCGGGAUAACACUACGAAAGAGGUGCUAAUACCGGAUGCGACGAUCGGGACUUCGGGACUGAUCGGGAAAGAUCCGCAAGGAUUGCUCGAGGACGAGCCUGCGGCCCAUCAGCUUGUUGGUGAGGUAAAAGCUCACCAAGGCUAAGACGGGUAGCUGGUCUGAGAGGAUGAUCAGCCACACUGGAACUGAGACACGGUCCAGACUCCUACGGGAGGCAGCAGUGGGGAAUAUUGCGCAAUGGGCGAAAGCCUGACGCAGCCACGCCGCGUGAGCGAUGAAGGCCCUCGGGUCGUAAAGCUCUGUGGGGAGAGAAGAAUAAAGCCGGUGAAGAGCCGGCCCUGACGGUAUCUCCUUAGCAAGCACCGGCUAACUCCG